rnacentral:rRNA from 1 species
UACGGAGGGUGCGAGCGUUGUCCGGAAUCACUGGGCGUAAAGGGCGCGUAGGCGGCCUGAUAAGUAGGGGGUGAAAUCCUGCGGCUUAACCGCAGGGCUGCCUUCUAAACUGUCAGGCUGGAGCACAGUAGAGGCAGGUGGAAUUCCCGGUGUAGCGGUGGAAUGCGUAGAGAUCGGGAAGAACACCGGUGGCGAAGGCGGCAUCCUGGACCGACAUUGACGCUGAGGAGCGAAAGCUAGGGGAGCAAACGGG